rnacentral:ncRNA from 1 species
AGAACUAGACGCGGGAGCCCGGAGCACCGGGCUGAGAGGGAGGCUGGGGCGCCUCCGACCGUCCGAACCUGAUCCGGGUCAUUCCGGCGAAGGGAGUGCAGCAUCAUGGUGC